rnacentral:rRNA from 1 species
CGCGGUAAUACGUAGGGGGCGAGCGUUGUCCGGAAUUACUGGGCGUAAAGGGCGUGUAGGCGGGGCAGCAAGUUGCGGGUAAAAAACCAGGGCUCAACCCUGGGGGUGCCUGCGAAACUGCUGUUCUUGAGGGCGGGAGAGGAGAGUGGAAUUCCCGGAGUAGCGGUGAAAUGCGUAGAUACCGGGAGGAACACCAGUGGCGAAGGCGGCUCUCUGGACCGACCCUGACGCUGAGGCGCGAAAGCCAGGGGAGCGAACGGGAUUAGAUACCCCGGUAGUCCUGGCCGUAAACGAUGGUCACUAGGUGUGGGUGGUGAUAAGCCAUCCGUGCCGGAGCCAACGCAAUAACUGACUCG